GAACGCUGGCGGCACGCUUAACACAUGCAAGUCGAACGAAGAUGUUUCACCGUAGCUUGCUACACCGAGACAUUUUAGUGGCGGACGGGUGAGUAACACGUGAGCAAUCUGCCUUUCAGAGGGGGAUACCAGUUGGAAACGACUGUUAAUACCGCAUAACAUAUCGAGAUCGCAUGAUAUUGAUAUCAAAGAUUUAUCGCUGAAAGAUGAGCUCGCGUCUGAUUAGAUAGUUGGUGAGGUAACGGCUCACCAAGUCGACGAUCAGUAGCCGGACUGAGAGGUUGGACGGCCACAUUGGGACUGAGACACGGCCCAGACUCCUACGGGAGGCAGCAGUGGGGAAUAUUGCACAAUGGGCGCAAGCCUGAUGCAGCGAUGCCGCGUGAGGGAAGAAGGUUUUAGGAUUGUAAACCUCUGUCUUCAGGGACGAUAAUGACGGUACCUGAGGAGGAAGCUCCGGCUAACUACGUG
rnacentral:rRNA from 1 species